rnacentral:rRNA from 1 species
UACGUAGGUGGCAAGCGUUGUCCGGAUUUACUGGGCGUAAAGGAUGCGUAGGCGGACAUUUAAGUCAGAUGUGAAAUACCCGAGCUUAACUUGGGUGCUGCAUUUGAAACUGGGUGUCUAGAGUGCAGGAGAGGUAAGUGGAAUUCCUAGUGUAGCGGUGAAGUGCGUAGAGAUUAGGAAGAACACCAGUGGCGAAGGCGACUUACUGGACUGUAACUGACGCUGAGGCAUGAAAGCGUGGGGAGCAAACAGG